UUCAGCAUAGCUCAGUUGGUUAGAGCAUGGCGCUGAUAACACCAAGUGCACAGGUCCUAGACAGCUGCACAUUCCUGCAUUGCAGGGGGAU